rnacentral:lncRNA from 1 species
GAAAAGUAUAGGCCCUAUUUUUGAUUUAUGUAAUCAUGUUGAUAUUUGAAACUAAUUUCACUUUAUUAUUUAUAUCAUAACUUAGUUAAUGACUUAAUAAUUGAAUUAUAUUAUUGUUGAAUAUUGGCUUGCGUAGUAAGUGGGUGAAGAAUCAUCAUAAUUAUUGGUGAAAUGUUGAGUCGUGACAUUAGAAUUGUCUAGUGCUACUCCUUAGGUGGACUACAAUAGUUAAAUGUUGCAUGCAUCCUUUGUGAGUUCAAAAAACUAAAUUCAUAAUAAGGUUUGCGUGUGCAUAGGAUCAUAUUGAGCUUUCUUAUAACAAUGACUCCACUUAACCACUAAGCUACACUAUAUUUUUAUGGCAAGCAGGUUCAUUUUUUCAUACAUGUAUGAUUUCAUCUAUAACAUAUACAUGUAAAUAGUAAAAUUUUGCUAAAGCGGAUUUAGUUACCCUUAUUAUCCGAUGUAAGUUUGCCACUAGCUACUGCAAAGUAUCGUAAAAUACGUAAUGAAAAAUCUAAAGGUAAAAUAUCUUAGGGCUUAUAAAAUUGAUGAUCUAAGGAAUGACAUGCCUGCGCGGACAACACAGAUUCACAUUGCAUAAGUGUGUAUGGAAAAUGCACUUUAACCUUUUAAUUGGUACACUAGGUUUACACUUUUUUGGCAAAAUACAAUUCCUUAAUAAUUUUAACAACAACAACAAAAAAUCUAGUGAAAUUUUACAAAUAAAGUUUGGAAAAAGUAGUGUACGCAAGCCUUACUUCUACGUUGUGCAUGUAGAGAGAUUAUUUUUUGUAAACCUGCGGCUCAGCAUAGUCGUAGCCAUAAGCAAACGAAAUAAUGUAAUGAAAAAAAAGAUAUGAAAAAAGUAGUAACAACUGCAAGAUAAUAGCAAAAGUCAAGCAGAAGCAACAACAUAUAAAUAUAGACAACCAAGAAUAAGACUAAAUAAAAGUACUACUAGAACUACCAGUAAAAACAGACAGAAAGCUCUACUACCUAUUACCUUCAACCCUAAUUCUCGACCUUCAUAAUUUUCUAUCAAAGGUCAUGUUCUCAAUAAGCUAAAGAAGCUUCAUGACCUACCUAAUCACCUUUUCCCAAUACAUCUUUGGCUUCCAUAUACCUCUAGUUGUAUCUUCCAUAAUCAACCUCUCACAACUCUUUUCCGCGGUGUAGUAUAUCUCCUCUUGACAUGCCCGAACUAUCUCAGUCUCCAUUCUCGCAUCUUAUCCUCCAUAGGGACCAUCUCACCUUUUCGUAAAUAUCUAUGUUCCUGACUCUGUCUCUUCUAGUAUGCCCACACAUCCAUCUCAGUAUCCUAAUUUUUGCUAUCUUUAUCUUCUAGACACGAGAGUUCUUGAUUUGCUAAUAAUCCACUCCAAACAAUAUAGUCAGUCUAACCAUCACUAUAUAGAAUUUAUCGUUAAAUUUUUAUGGGUACAUUCUUGUCGCACAAAACAUUAUACAUAAUCCUAUAUUUAUUCACCCUGCUCGAAUACAGUGUGUGAUAUCAUCGUCAAUAUCCCCGUUAUCUUGGAUAACUAGCUCCAGGUACUUGAAACUUUUUCUCUUGGAGAUGACUUGUGUAUCAAGCAUCACUUUCACUUUAGCUUCCUGAGUAGUCAUCAUUGAACUUGGAUUCCAUAUAUUCGAUUUUAGUCCUUCUCAACUUAAAGUCAUUGGACUCUACGGUCUGUCUACAGGCCUCUAGCGUAACCUUAACACAUCCUUGUGUCUCGUCAAUAAGCCCGAUAUCAUGUACAAAUAACAUGCACAAUAGAAUCUCUCAUGGAUAUCUCGCGUCAAUACUUCCAUCGCCAAAGCGAAUAAGAAAUAGAUGUGAGCUGACCACUGGUGCAACUCCAUCACGACAAGGAACAAAACUUCUUCCGUUGUCCUUACCGGACUCUUAGCCCGUCAUACAUGAAUCGCCCUAAUGUGCGCUACAACAAUAUCUCUUAUCUCCAAGCACCUCCAUACGACUUCCCUUGGAACUUUGUUAUACGUUUUUUUUCCAGAUCAAUGAAUACCAUAUGCAAGUCCCUCUUUCUCUUCCUAUAUUGCUCCACCAACCUCCUUAUAAGAUGAGUGGAUUCAGUAGUUGAUUGCCUCGAUAUAAAGCCACAGUGAUUCUCGAAAAUAGAAACACAUCCUCACCCCCAUCUUUACCACCAUCUCCCAAAUUUUUGUAGUAUGACUUAGCAACUUGAUACUCCUAUAAUUAUCACAAUUUUGGAUAAUACCCUUAUUUUUGUAUACGGAAUCAUCGUACUCCAUCUCUAUUCAUCGGGCAUUAUAGAUCCUAAUGAUGACAUUAAACAGUUUAGUGAGCCACUGUAAGAAUGCCCUCCCUGUACUCUUCUAAAAAUUCACUUGGAUCUCGUCUGGCCAGUCGCUCUUCUCCUAUUUAUCUCACACAAUGCCUUCUCAACCUCCUCAGUCUUAAUUAAGGGUGUUAAACAGGCGGGUUAGCCCGGUUUCGGAUCGGUCCAGACCGGUUAAAACCGGACUCGGCCCGGUACAUAAGGGGCUGGAUUGGGCUGGGUUAGGGGGGUCAUGCGGGUUGCUCCGUUUAAGUUUUUAUCCUUUCCGAUCCAACCCGUUAAGUAAAUAGUGAUCGUGAACCGGUUAACCGGCCCGGUCCGGACCGGCAUAAUGGUAAAAUUUUUUUAAAAAAUAUUUUUUUAUAUGGUCGAGAUUUGACCGUUGCCAACGGGUGAAUUGUACAAUUUAUCCCAAUUUUGAUUUUUUCUUAAAAAAAUUAACCCGCCUUUCAAAAACUAUAAAUUACCCCCCCCNNNNNNNNNNNNNNNNNNNNNNNNNNNNNNNNNNNNNNNNNNNNNNNNNNNNNNNNNNNNNNNNNNNNNNNNNNNNNNNNNNNNNNNNNNNNNNNNNNNNNNNNNNNNNNNNNNNNNNNNNNNNNNNNNNNNNNNNNNNNNNNNNNNNNNNNNNNNNNNNNNNNNNNNNNNNNNNNNNNNNNNNNNNNNNNNNNNNNUUUAAUCGCAAUUCAAGUUAAAUCAUGCCUCGUACUUCUAGAGUGCGGCCAUAUGUUUGGCAACACUUUGAGCUAGUGAAAGAAAAUGAGGAAGAUCAGAAAGUAAAGUGCAAGAACUGUGGUCAAAUCUUAAAUCUUCGUUCAAGGUUUGGCACAAAUAGUUAAGGAGGCAUAUAAAGUAUUGUCUUGAGCGUCCUACGGAAAUUCGUAUUUAAGGUUUUAAGACAAUUUGUGUUAUUUAAAAAUUAUUAGACAUAUUUACGCUUAAUAUUUUGGUUUGUUAGAUUAAUUUGAAGUAUUAUUAAUUUAUUAUGCAUGAAAAUUUAGUUUUACUAUUCAUUUGUUAAAUUACUUUUUAAAUGCAAACUUUAAUUUGUAAUUUUGAAAUAAAUAUUACAAUUUAUAAGUGCAAUUUUUUCCAUCUUUCUUGUAUUCUUUAUAUUAAUACAAAGUAUUAAUAUAACGUACAAUAGUUAUACAAAAUAAAAAAAAUUAAAAAAUACACUAAACCCCGUCCGGCCCGGCCCCCUCAACCCGUAUUCAAUUUUUAGCCGAAUGAACUCGAACCCGUUAAACCCAAUAAGCCUCAACCCGUAACUGGUCAGAACCAUAACCCUUACGGGUCCAAAAGAUCCAACCCAGUCCGGUCCGAUCCACCCGUUUAACACCUUUGGUCUUAAUAUGGCUAUAAUAUCCAAAAUUAUGAGGAAUUUCACUGUGCUCCAAAUCACCAACACAAUGCUCCUUUUCCCUCUUCAUUUAAGAAUUUAUGGAUCCCUGGAAAUUUUCAAUUUGUUAAUACUAUUAAUCAUAAUUUUAAUUGUUGACUAGCCCAUUUGUGCUCAACCUAUAGCUAUCAAUCACACGUUUAGUCAUAGUUCGGAGAAGUUGAAAAUUUUAGCCUAUUUGAAUCGAUUCUGACAUCUCUAAAUGUGACCGCAGAUUGACAGGUAGUUGUGUCUAGUUCAUUUCAACUUUCAAAUGUGGACAGGGUUUAGCUAGAUUUGGAAGCAGUAUUCAUGAUCUUUUUUCUUAAUUUUGGUUAAAGUAUAAGUUUUGCAGUAAAUGGUCCUCGUCUAGUUUAGUUAAUUAUUAGUAAAUGACGUCCACUUUUACUUGAUUAACAGAAAUUUAGGAAAUAAAGAAAUUGCAGAUAACGGAUACAUUUGGAUGGAGGUGAGAGAGAUGGGUUGUGUUGGACCAAAACUCUGGUCCCCUUUCAACCAUGGACCACGGUCCAUCUAGGCUCGAUUUGUGUGAAUUUAAAUUGUAAGUAUUUUGUGACUUAUUUUAUUUGACUGCCUCCGUUUAACUUGUAUUUAAUUUUAAAAAAGAAAUUUAAUUAGUACUAUGUACAGAUAAAUUCAAGUUUUUUUCUCCUUUUUCUUCUUUUUCUUAGUUGUUGUGAAAGCGAAUAUAAUUUCAAGGGUAACCCCAAAUACAAAUGUCACAUAUAAGCCCACAUCAACUCCGGGCUGUCACAUCCAUUCCCUUCUAAGGCCCUACUAGGAUUGUAACAACUCAACCCAACUCAGAACAAAGAUGUUGAGUAGAAGCUCAACAGUUUGUACAAAUUUACUUAUGCCUCUUCUUUGGUCCCCAUUAGCAUGUGCUAAAUGGCCCCCGACUACACUUUUUACUGUUCCUAUGUUUUCCCUCAUCAAUUUUUUCUUUUGUAUCACAGAACUAUAACAAUAACAACAACCCAAUAUAAUCUCACUUAGUGAGGUCCGGGGAGGGUAGUGUGUCUGCAGAUCUUACCCCUACCCUGGGAUAGUAAGGCUGUUUCCAAAUAGACCUCCGACAUCCUCCCCUCCAAGAACUUCCCACCUUGCUCUUUGAGGACUCGAACUCACAACCUUUCAAUUGAAAGUAGGGUUUGCUUAAUUUGAUGUUAAAUUCAAAUAUAACCUGGUUAUCAAUUUUACGAGAUUGCAUUAUCCAAAUUUGUAAACCUAACAUAUUGAUUGGCUGAAUUUCCUUAUCAGCUUGGCCUUAUCUCGUCAUGCUGGUCAAUGAACUCCUCCCCCCUCCCCCCUCCCCCAUACCCACUAUGAGUUUGAUGGUUGUGGAGCUUGAUAAGAUAUGAUUUGAUUAAACAAUUAAUUUUGAACAAACCCUUUUUUGUUAAGUUUGUGGUAGAUAAACUGAUGUUCAAUUCUCAAUAUUCUUUCGUGAUUUGAUUAUAAUACAAUUUGAUUUGCAUCUAAUGUUCAUACCGUUUAAAAAAGAAGAUGAUUUACACCCUUUGGCACGAUUGGAUUGUUUCAAUCACUUACUUCGACAAGACUAACUAGUCCAAAUUAAGAGAAGACCGAUUGAAGUGUCCCAUGUCUGUCUACAGUGUUUGGGGUUAAAAUUUCAUUGAGGUUCUAAACGAUGCACACAUAAAAAAGUUUACUUAUACAUACAAUAUAAUUUUUCUCAAAGCGACACAAUCGAACUCCCUUGGUAAACAUAGCUCCGUCGCUGUCUGUCAACACAUCAAAGAUGCAUAUUUGCCUUGCAGUUUCGUUUAUAUUUAGCUAGAUUUACUGAACUAAUAUUCAGGGGGAAGGGGGGGAGACUAGCCUCAUUACUUCCCACUGGGCGAGAGGUGCACCUAACCCACCUACCCACUCAUCAAUCACGGUGUUCAGCUGACUUGCACUGAUAGACCCCUAUUGUAUUGGAAUUAGGCGCCCAUCUUUUUACUGUUGUCAAUGAAUCUCUUCCAUGUUCGAUUCUACUCUAUGUUAGAACAUUUCUGUGAAUGCUAUUCUGAUCUAAGUGGUCUUAUC